AACUUUUCAGAAUGUUUACCUGAAAAAAGAUUUUUUGCCUUAAAAAUCCUUUCCACUAGAGCUAUGUGCCCUUUUUACUCUGCUACUCUUGUGAUUACGUGUGGUGCUGACACAGUCAUCUCUUCACUGAAACAUCUUCAGAGUGCCGAAUAUGUGCUGUGCUGACUGAUUACGGAUGAUUUACGAUGGGUUCUGUCACAUGGGCAAAUCAAGCAAAUCAGUGAAUAACACUGCUGCUCCUGAGCUUCUAAGAGAUGCCGCCAUUUUUCCACACAUGAAGACAACACGAGUUGCCAAGAGAGAACAGUCACUCAGAG
rnacentral:lncRNA from 1 species